AGACCCGAAACCCGGUGAUCUAGCCAUGGGCAGGUUGAAGGUUGGGUAACACUAACUGGAGGACCGAACCGACUAAUGUUGAAAAAUUAGCGGAUGACCUGUGGCUGGGGGUGAAAGGCCAAUCAAACCGGGAGAUAGCUGGUUCUCCCCGAAAGCUAUUUAGGUAGCGCCUCGUGAAUUCAUCUCCGGGGGUAGAGCACUGUUUCGGCUAGGGGGCCAUCCCGGCUUACCAACCCGAUGCAAACUGCGAAUACCGGAGAAUGUUAUCACGGGAGACACACGGCGGGUGCUAACGUCCGUCGUGAAGAGGGAAACAACCCAGACCGCCAGCUAAGGUCCCAAAGUCAUGGUUAAGUGGGAAACGAUGUGGGAAGGCCCAGACAGCCAGGAUGUUGGCUUAGAAGCAGCCAUCAUUUAAAGAAAGCGUAAUAGCUCACUGGUCGAGUCGGCCUGCGCGGAAGAUGUAACGGGGCUAAACCAUGCACCGAAGCUGCGGCAGCGAACGUAUCACCCAA
rnacentral:rRNA from 4 species